GGGGUUAUAGCUUAGAUGGGAGAGCAUCUGUUUUGCACGCAGAAGGUCAUCGGUUCAAUCCCGAUUAACUCCA
rnacentral:tRNA from 1 species